UUCAGCUCCUCGAGAACACAUUCUCCCUUAUAAUAUGCAAAUCCAUUGUUUGACUUUGAAACAUCCCACUAACUUUCAAACAUGCUGUUGGAAAGUCAUCAGCUGCAAAAGAGCCUGCAGCUGAUGCAGAAGUCCCUGAACAAGCAAAGGUUGUAAUAGAGGAGCCCACAGAGGCCAAAGAGGUCACCAGAUUCGCUGCAACUGGAGUUACGGGUAGUUGACAGCCACUGUGUGGGUGCCGGGAGCAAAAGUGGGGUCCUCUGCAAGAUCAUUGUCUACACUGACCCUUCAGAGGCUAGAGGGGAAGCUUCCCACUGCCCCGGCAAGAGGAAAGAUCGAAGUGCUCACCAGGAGAAGGAAGAUUUGGUUAUGGCAGAAUUCUUCGUUGGAUCGCACAAUGCUUUCUUUAUACCUAACAAAUGUCAAGCAAACGAACCGAAAUGAAUGACAUGCAUCCCACCUGAUGACUGAGACUAGAUGAAUGGAGACAACCCAGAUAUCUACAAAGAAGAAAACCAAUAAAAUGUCACUUAUCUAUAUAGGAUCGAAACCAACAAAAGAGUAACAAAAAAAAUAUGGAUACACACAGAAACAGCAAGAAAUUUCAGAACACUAUGUGAAUUGACAGAAGCCUACUCAAAAGAACAUAUUGUUAAGUUGCAUUUAUAUGGCAUUCUAUAAAAGACAAAUCUCUAUGGCAGAGAUAACAGGACUGGAGACAUGGGGCAGAGGUUGAGAGCACCUGCUCUUCCUACAGAAGACCAGAGUUCAGUUCUCACCACCUGGAGCAGGAGGCUCACAACUGUAGGCAGAAGUUUCUGUCCCACCAGCAGCUCCCAAAUAAACACACUGAGACUUAUAUUAAUUACAAAUGCUCAGCCAAUAGCUCAGGCUUGUUACUGGCUAACUCAUAUUUAAAUUAACCCGUAUGUCUUAUCUACAUUCUACCACAUGGCUUGGUACCUUUUCUAAGUUCAGCAUGCUCAUCUCACUUCUCCCUGCAUCUGUUGGUGACUCCUCUCACUCCUCCCUUGUUCAUCCCAGCAUCCUUAGUUUAGUUGUCCCGUCUAUACUUCCUGCAUGGCUAACGGCCAGUCAGUUCUUUAUUAACCAAUGAGAGUAAUACAUAUUCACGGUGGACAGAAGGAUUAUUCCACAGCACACAACUGUCUGUGAUUCCAGCUCCAGGGCAUCCAGUGCCCUCUUCUAGCCUCCUCAUGCACUGGCACACAUAUGGCAUAGUCACACACAUAUACACAAAAAUAAAAAUAAAUCUUGUGGGAUAGGGCAAGUGUGUUGGUUACAUGCCUUUAAUCCUAGCCCUCGAGAAGCAGAGACAGGCAAAUCUCUGUGAUACUCAGGCCAGCCUGGUCUACAUAGUGAGUUCUAGACCCUAUCUCAAAAUUAAUUAAAUAAUUUUUAAAAGAAAAGAAAAAUUAAAAUAGUUGUUUCCUCUAUUUUGGGGGUACUAUGGUCUUUCCAAAAUUCAUAUGUUGAAUAUGAUCAUCAAUGCCAAAUAUUAGCAGAUGAACUUUUGGGAUCAAAAAUGAUGAAAGGCUCAGUGAGUUAGCUAUAUCCUUUGCAUUAUGCAAGGGCAGAGCAAGAAGAUGUGUCUGUGAAACAGGAAGUGGUCCCUUACAUACAGCACCACAUCUGCACUCCAACCUUGGACUUUCCAGUGUCCAGAACUGUGGGAGAAUAAAUGCACGUUAUUUAUUAACCCACCAAGGCAUUACAAUACUUUAUUAUUACGGCCAGCGAAUCAGACUAGGACAGUGGGAGAGAGAGACUACCUGGGAAGGAAUAUGAAAGGACCUUGUGACUGGGGCGUGCUGAGUAGCAGCAUGCUUGCUGAACAUGCAUAAGGCCCUGGGUUUAACCCCUAGCCCCACUGCCUAUGUGUACACAUGUGUGCAUUCAUGCAUGCGUGUGUGUGUGUGUGUGUGUGUGUGUGUGUGUGUGUGUGUGUAUGUGUAUGUGUGUGUGUGUGUGAUGAGGGUUUGGCUUUGUUCAGUUUUGUUUGAGACAGGAUGUCAUUUUGUAGCCCUGGCUAGCCUCCAACUCACUGUUUGGACUCUAACCUCCAGCUCAUGGUCAUUUUGACUCUCAAGUAUUAGAACUGCAGAAGCAUGCCUGGCUGCACUUGGCUCCUAGGAAAAUGGUUCUAGUUCUUCUGCUAUUCUAAACAUAAUUUCAUAAUGUAACUCUUCAAAUUACAAAAGUAAUAAUG